CCAAACUGUUGCCUCGGCGGGAUCUCUGCCCCGGGUGCGUCGCAGCCCCGGACCAAGGCGCCCGCCGGAGGACCAACCAAAACUCUUAUUGUAUACCCCCUCGCGGGUUUUUUUAUAAUCUGAGCCUUCUCGGCGCCUCUCGUAGGCGUUUCGAAAAUGAAUCAAAACUUUCAACAACGGAUCUCUUGGUUCUGGCAUCGAUGAAGAACGCAGCGAAAUGCGAUAAGUAAUGUGAAUUGCAGAAUUCAGUGAAUCAUCGAAUCUUUGAACGCACAUUGCGCCCGCCAGUAUUCUGGCGGGCAUGCCUGUCCGAGCGUCAUUUCAACCCUCGAACCCCUCCGGGGGGUCGGCGUUGGGGAUCGGCCCUCCCUUAGCGGGGUGGCCGUCUCCGAAAUACAGUGGCGGUCUCGCCGCAGCCUCUCCUGCGCAGUAGUUUGCACACUCGCAUCGGGAGCGCGGCGCGUCCACAGCCGUUAAACACCCCCCAAAAACUUUUCCUUGAAAAAAUUGGUUUGGAACCCCUUCCCGGG
rnacentral:rRNA from 1 species